GGUUUUCUGGCGCAAGGCCAAAGUAAAAAAGUUUUUUCUAUUAGUUACAGGACAUAUGUUUUCCAGCCCAGGCACAGAUACAAGAACUCCCACACAUCUGACUCAUUUCAGGCUGUAGUGCUUUAUCUGAGGGCGAGAGGUUGAAUUUGGGAACAAUACCCAGGGGCAGAGCCAAAGAAACUUCACUGGCAAGUUUCUGACAGAUUUUUGCAACUCGUUUUCAUUCUCUUUGGAGCAGUUUCUUACCCUCCAAGGCCAUCCUGUGGCAGCCUGCAGCUCUGAGGAUGCCUGACCACCUCAGCGGGACUGUGAUUCAGCCCCAAAGCAUCUGACACUUGUUGAGGUAGCGCCAUCACCCUACGGAAAAGGCUACAGACUGCGCAAAGGCUGAGAUGCAGCUCUCCAGACCAUGCUUUAUAUCCUGAGAGGAAAGGCUGUGCAGGUUUUGCAAACCUGUCUCUGUCCUGCCAAGUUCAAACGGGCUUUGCAGUAGCGCAAGCAGAGUGAUGGGAAAGCAGAGAGCAUCAGAAACUGCCACAGGCUUUAGAAACCACAGUGCAGGAAAACGAAACUGUAGUGCAUUCUUCCCAGGGUAACAUCAGUAACUUGCCACAUAAUGGUGUUUAUUUCUCUCUCCAGCACACCCUAUAACCCACGUUGGGAAAAACAAGUUGCUAACCCCGAGUCCAUGCUGAGGAGGCAAUGGGCUGCACUAUCUGUGAGAUGUACCUACUGCUGCUUCCACUCUAAGGCAAACGUCGCUGAAACCCCACAGAACCAGCUCCAGAAGAAUCUGCACUGGUGUGUUUUGUGCAGGUUUUCAAAUCAGAAGGAGUCAGCAUGAGGUACAGCCCUCCCCUGUAAACUGGAUCUCAUCUGCCCUCCUCUGAAUUCACUUCUUGUGACUCAGACCAGGUGCGUGUAAGUGUGACAGCUACUGCUGGGAUCCCUAAUUCCUGUUUUAAAUUACACCCUGCCAUAGACCGAGUAGUUAAAGUGAAAUGCGUGAUCACAGCUGGAUUAAGGAUUUUUGCCUCUGAAAUAUAUUCGGGGGGAAAAAAAAACCCAGAUGUUAUCUGUUUGGGGCUAUCCCCAAUGUUUUUACAAUUUUGUUUGAUACAUACCAGGCCUUAGGAUUUACCCCAUAAUUACAGCAUUAAAACAAUAUUUUUUUAUGAA